UACGUAGGGUGCAAGCGUUGUCCGGAAUUAUUGGGCGUAAAGAGCUCGUAGGCGGUUUGUCGCGUCUGCUGUGAAAACUCGGUGCUUAACUCCGGGCCUGCAGUGGGUACGGGCAGACUAGAGUGCGGUAGGGGAGACUGGAAUUCCUGGUGUAGCGGUGAAAUGCGCAGAUAUCAGGAGGAACACCGGUGGCGAAGGCGGGUCUCUGGGCAGUAACUGACGCUGAGGAGCGAAAGCGUGGGGAGCGAACAGG
rnacentral:rRNA from 1 species